rnacentral:lncRNA from 1 species
GGCAGUACGAUCCCAGAAGCCAGGCACGCGUUUCUCCCCUUUCCUCUUUCGGAAUGGGGAGAAAAUUUCAGAAAAGGAUGUCUCCUCCAAAUCGGUGAAAGAAUUCGAAUUUUGAAUUCAGGAUUGACCCCAAAUUUCUAUUGGAAUUCCCCCCAAAAUCUACCCUUUUUUCCUAUAUAAUCAUCUCCUCUAUUAUUUUGUAAAGGGGGGAUUUUUUUUUAGUUGAAAAAUUUAGAGUAAAAUAAGGAAGUUGAAUUCUCUUUUGAAAACACUUUCAUACUAAAAAAAUAAAAAUAAAAAUUCAGCCGAUUCUCUCAUCUAAAGUUACGAGAAAACCUUUGUUCGAUUUUGAUUCGCUGUUUUGUUAGUUGUCUCGAGACCAAAGUCGUUGGUGGAACAAUCGCUGGUCGUUUACUCAUUUUCGUCCCGGAACGCUGCUCCAAAGAAGGUAACCUCUCCUCCUCUUAAAUUUGUUUUGCUAUUUCGGCUAAAUUCAGAUGUAUGCUAUAUGAAUUUAAUUCAUUGUGUGAUUUUAUUUGGUUAUUUUGUGGUUCCUAUAUAUGAUCUGCCCCUGCUGCUUAUGAAAGAUAUGGUCAUGUAUAUAUAUAUAUUUUAGUGGUAUAAAAUGGCAGUGUAAGAGCUUACCACUAGCUAUUGUUGCUACCCUUUGUUCUCCACAAUGUAAGGCAUAUUACUAAGAUACAAAUCGAUUUGAAUGAAGCUAUAGUAAUCUUGGUUGCUUGUCUUUUAUUUGUUUCUUCCUUUAGUUAUUGGUGUAGAUUCUCAUUAAUAUUAGCUUAGUCCCAUGAAGUGUAAGCUCUACUUUCGUUUCGGCCAGAACAUUGUUCACCUAUAUCAUGUUUUCGAUUCCUGAUUUAAGGUAGUUAUAGCUUUCUACUUUACUCUUGUUUAUAGUCUUGUAGUUAAGAUUUCUUACUCAUUUCAUGUCAUUGGGUUCAACUGUCAUCUCAUUAUUAAUAUACAUCUCUCCAUUCAUCGGAACCCGUUAGCCUAAUAGUUAUAAAAAAUGCAUUUUGUUGCUCUUAGUGACCAUGCUAAAUUUCAAAAUUUCCGUUAGCCGUCUCAUGUUAGCGUUCAAAUUAAG